rnacentral:rRNA from 1 species
CGGUGAAUACGUUCCCGGACCUUGCACACACCGCCCGUCAAGCCAUGGAAGCUGGGUGUACCUAAAGUCGGUAACCGCAAGGAGCCGCCUAGGGUAAACUAGUACUGGGGCU